rnacentral:lncRNA from 1 species
UACAACAACAACAACAAACCCAGUGUAUUCCCACUUUGUGGGGUCUGGGGGGGGUAAGAUGUACGCAGUCCAUACCUCUACCUCUGAUGAAGUAGAAAGGCUGUUUCCGAAAGACCCCCGGCUCAAGUUACGAGAUAUCAAACAAACACAUAGUACAGCACAGAAGCAGAUGACAUAACAUAGAUACUGCAGCCAUAAGGAAUAUAAAACAGAGUAAAGCAGGAAAGCAGGAAUAUAAAGCAGAGGAAAGCACACAGAUUCGUAACAAACAUAGAACACGGAACACGGAACAGAACAUUGAAUACGGAAUCAUACCAGGAAUACCCCCCCACCAAUUACCUCCCUACAUUAGCGACCCGAACAGGCCCUAAUCCUCUGCCGUAAUUCGCGUCUUCCAGACCUUCCUAUCUAGGGUCAUGUCCUCGGUAAGCUGUAACUGUUCCAUGCCCCGCCUAAUCACCUCACCCCAGUACUUCUUCGGUCUACCCCUACCCCGUCUAAAACCAUCCAACGCUAGCCUCUCACACCUACGGACCGGGGCAUCCAUGCCCCUCCUCUUCACGUGUCCGAACCAUCUCAAUCGUGCUUCCCGCAUCUUACAC